rnacentral:lncRNA from 1 species
AAGAAAAUGACCAUAUAACUGAAUUUGAAUCAUGAGAUGCCACAUUCUUAGAGAAUGAUUUUCCAAAAAAUGGUGAGAUAGGUCAAGACUUAUCUCUAUAUGAAAUUCAAAACCAAAUUGUUCCACCCUACAAAUAUAAAUGGACACACUAUAUUCGAAUGGGAGUGAUAUGAGAUUCAAUGAAUCUGUUUCAAUUAAAACCCAAUCACAACCAAUGGUGGCCC